AUGAAAGAAAAUACAUAUGUUAGUGUGACCAUUCUCUUAGCAUGUCUUAUUCUAGCCCUCGGAGGAAAAGAAGUUAAGUGUAUAAGACGGGACAAAAAUACUAGCGGGGUCCCUUUGAAUCAAAAAGUCAAUACUACUAUUGUGGUUGACAGAGGAGAUGUCUAUGACUGCAUCGAUGUGAACCUACAACCAGCCUUUAGCCAUCCACUACUAAAACACCACAAAAUCCAGAUGGAACCAAGCUCUUUCCCACAGAGUAUUCCUACCAAAUCCCCGUCGAUUCAUGCCAGUCCACCAACCCAAUUGUCUUUGAUUGAGUGCCCUACAGGAACAAUUCCAAUAUUGCGCAACAACAGAAGGGUCCACAAGCUAGUACGAGCUAUUGGCAAAGUGAUUAGCAAGAAUGAACAACAUGAGGUUGCAGGAUUUGAGUAUCUAGAUGUGCUAUACGGAACGCGGGCUAAAAUAAAUAUCUAUGAACCUAAGGUGAAGAAUACUAGUAAGGAUCUAAGUGCAUCAUGGAUACAAAUUAAAGGGAUACAAAGAGUAGGCCUUGCAGAUGGGAUAGGUGCUGGUUCUUGGGUAUAUCCAAGCUACAGUGGUGACAGCCUUGCUAGGUUUCACGUUGCUUGGGUUGAUGGCUUAAAGAACACAAUUUUCCCUGAUCAUGAUUGUGGCGCUUUCGUACAAGUUAGCUCAAUUGUUGGUCUAGGAGGAAGACUUAAACCAGUUUCUAUCUAUGGCGGACCACAAUACAUCAUAGAUGUUGCCAUUUUCAAGGACCCGCUGACUAAAAAUUGGUGGGUGUCUUACGGUGAACAAAACAUACAUAUUGGAUAUUGGCCAAAGGAAAUUUUCCAUUUCAUGAAGGAUCAAUGUAAUUAUGCAUUAUAG
rnacentral:rRNA from 1 species